AGAUUUCGUAUUUUAUUAAAAUAUAAAAUUGCAAAUUUUAAGAUGAAAUUUACUCCGAAAUUUA
rnacentral:tRNA from 1 species